rnacentral:rRNA from 1 species
AGAGUUUGAUCCUGGCUCAGAACGAACGUUGGCGGCGUGCUUAACACAUGCAAGUCGAACGAGAACGUCCCGGCUUGCCGGGAUUAGUAAAGUGGCGCACGGGUGAGUAACACGUGAGUAAUUUCCCUCUAAGCUUGGGAUAACACUGCGAAAGCGGUGCUAAUACCGAAUAAGACCACGGUAUCACAUGAUACAGUGGGAAAAGGUGGCCUCUGUAUAUGCUAUCACUUGGAGAUAAGCUCGCGGACCAUUAGCUUGUUGGUAGGGUAACGGCCUACCAAGGCUGAGAUGGUUAGCUGGUCUGAGAGGAUGAUCAGCCACACUGGAACUGAGACACGGUCCAGACUCCUACGGGAGGCAGCAGUGGGGAAUAUUGCGCAAUGGGGGAAACCCUGACGCAGUGACGCCGUGUGAGUGAUGAAGGUUUUCGGAUCGUAAAGCUCUGUCAGAUGGGAAGAAUAAAGGCAGGGAAAAUAUUUCUGCCUGAUGACGUACCAUCAGAGAAGCACCGCUAACU